AUGCAGUCAAGGAGAACGUUUCCUUCGGGAAAUUAUUAAACUGGCGAACGGGUGAGUAAUGCGUAGGCAACCUGCCUUGGAGAUUGGGAUAACCCCGGGAAACCGGGACUAAUACCGGAUAAUGCAGCGACUUCUUAGGAAGAUGCUGUUAAAGCGGGCUUCGGCUCGCACUUCAAGAUGGGCCUGCGUCCGAUUAGCUUGUUGGUAAGGUAACGGCUUACCAAGGCGAUGAUCGGUAGCUGGUCUGAGAGGAUGAUCAGCCACACUGGGAUUGAGAUACGGCCCAGACUCCUACGGGAGGCAGCAGUAGGGAAUUUUGCGCAAUGGACGAAAGUCUGACGCAGCAACGCCGCGUGAUCGAUGAAGCUUUUAGGAGUGUAAAGAUCUGUCGUGAGGGAAGAAAAAUCUGGAUGUAAAUAAUGUUCAGACUUGACGGUACCUUACAAGAAAGCACCGGCUAACUUCGUGCCAGCAGCCGCGGUAAUACGAGGGGUGCUAGCGUUGUCCGGAAUAACUGGGCGUAAAGGGUCCGUAGGCGUUUUGCCAAGUUGAUCGUUAAAGCCACCGGCUUAACCGGUGAUCUGCGAUCAAAACUGGUAGAAUAGAAUAUGUGAGGGGAAUGUGGAAUUCCUGGUGUAGCGGUGACAUGCGUAGAUAUCAGGAGGAACACCAAUGGCGAAGGCAGCAUUCUGGCACAAUAUUGACGCUGAGGGACGAAAGCGUGGGGAGCAAACAGGAUUAGAUACCCUGGUAGUCCACGCCGUAAACGAUGAGUACUUGGUGGUGGGGGAUUCGACCCCUUCACUAUCGGAGCUAACGCGUUAAGUACUCCGCCUGGGGACUACGACCGCAAGGUUGAAACUCAAAGUAAUUGACGGGGACCCGCACAAGCGGUGGAACAUGUGGUUUAAUUCGAUGCAACGCGAAGAACCUUACCUGGACUUGACAUGUUAGUGAAAGUUUUGUGAAAGCAAAACCCUCUACGAACUUGUUCAAGGA
rnacentral:rRNA from 1 species